CUGCACCAGGCAGGAGCAGACAGAACCGUAGACAACGUUAGGAAAAGAGGAUGACCACUGCGAAGGAAUAUCUUUGUGUGCUGGCAUAAAAACAGGUAAAAAUAAACUCUAUAACUAUGUAACACUGUUGUUUUAAAAGUGUGUAGGUGCAUGGAUGGGUGGUUAAGUGGAUCGUUGAAUGGAUGGAUAGAAAUUUGGAUGGAAUUAUAGAUAGAUGCAUGGAAUGACCUUGAUGUUUCCUCAUCAUUUUUCUUACAGAUCAGAAUGGGAAAUACAGAUAGUCAGCACAGCAAUUUCCUCAUCCCUGGUAAGGGAAAGUCUAGCUCCCUGAAGCUGCACACUUCUAAAGAGGAGGCACUCUCUCCACACUCUUGGUGGAGGAGCUCCCAGAGCACCUCUGGAUACAAGGACAAAAAUAGUUUUUCACCGCACAAGAACAGCCAACCUUACAUCUCCCGCCAUUAUGACUGCAUUAAGGGGGGAUCUAGUGACAAAGUACAUUCAGAGAGCCACAGAGACUAUGACAACCUUUUAUUCCAGGGAAAUGGAUUCUUUGUAGGCUACAGACAACAGACUGGAGGCCUCCAGGCCCCUAUGAGGAGCACCAGUUCUGAACUUAAAGACAAUAAGAGCAGUCCCAAAGUUCUUUUUCGUGAGGAUGGAAGUCUGAGGGUUGAGUUUACCAACGCACGGAGGGAGCCGGAUGUUGAGCUGUCAUUGGGCAACUGUCUCAGUGGACCUGUUGAUGCUAUCCAAAGGGCCAGUAAUGGGAGCUCUCUUAGCUCUGAGGGUUCAUGGUAUGACUCACCAUGGGGGAAUGGGACAGAAGAUCUGUGUGAUAACGUCUUCACCACCGGCCAACCUUCGGACAACAGUAGUGGAUAUACCACACUCUCAUCCACACGUACUGUGGACUUUGGAUGUCUUAAUGGUUACAAUACAGAGCAAUCUGAGAACCAUUUGGGUAACCUCACCUGCCAACCCACAGUUCACGACAGUCAGUAUGCAAGCAGUGAUUGC
ensembl:lncRNA